rnacentral:lncRNA from 1 species
UUUUGGUGAUCGACAAACCCAUUCAAAAGAAGAUAAUAGAUGUGUGAUCAUUAAAGAGGCUACUAGUUUUGAUCGCGCAUUGAUCGCCCAUAGAUAUGAGAGAAUGCUUGCAUAUUAGACAUCAAUAUAGAAGAAAAGAAGUAAAUUGUUCUAGGUGGACUCAGAAUAUUAUUUCCAACAACUUGAUGUUGAUAUCUUUGGCAUGGGAAUCAUAUGCUCCCAUGGAAUAAAUGCAUAAAAAUGUGAGGAAGGGAGACUUGUUAGGCAUGACACUCAUGUUAUCUUAAUUUUGAAAAGGAA